AUAUAGUAGAAUCAUUGAUUAUUCAAUCAAGAAACUCCACAUAUAUAUUGUCUCUACAGUGAAGAGUUCUCCAGUCUCCAAAACUCAAUGGAGCUCGUAUCGUCUCGUGGACCUCGUAAGUUAUGACCUAUCUGACUCUGCAAUGAAUUGUAUAACUCUGCUGUGGAUGGGCAGUGGCUGUUUAAAAUUUAAAUGGCCUGCAUGAGAUGCCGGUUCUUACAUUCAUCAUUGCACAGACUGAUAGCCAGCAAAGAAAUUCCAAGAUUUUAGAAGAUAUGCCCAAAAUGCAUUUAAAAGAAAAUGGAGGCAUGGAGCAAGAGGGUCACCGUGAAAAUCCAAGAAGAAGCUUCUCCUUUUAAACCAGAAAGAUCUGAAAUUGCUCAAGCUGACUUUGUUUGGGAUUCCAGAGAUGAAGUAGGAGGAGGAGGGUUGUUGAGAGAAGAAGAAGACUUGAAGGCCUCAAUCUGUGAGUGACACUCGAGUCAACCCCCUUUACUUUGUUCAACG
rnacentral:lncRNA from 1 species